CAGUCGCCGCGGUAAUACGAAGGGGGCUAGCGUUGUUCGGAUUAACUGGGCGUAAAGGGCGCGUAGGCGGGUUUUUAAGUCAGAGGUGAAAUCCCAAGGCUCAACCUUGGAACUGCCUUUGAUACUGGAAAUCUUGAGUCCGGGAGAGGUGAGUGGAACUGCGAGUGUAGAGGUGAAAUUCGUAGAUAUUCGCAAGAACACCAGUGGCGAAGGCGGCUCACUGGCCCGGUACUGACGCUGAGGCGCGAAAGCGUGGGGAGCAAACAGGAUUAGAGACCCGCGUAGUCCCUGUCUCUUAUAC
rnacentral:rRNA from 1 species